GUGCAGCAGCCGCGGUAAUACCGGCAGCUCGAGUGAUGUCCAAUAUUAUUGGGCCUAAAGCGUCCGUAGCUGGCCGCGCAAGUCCGUCGGGAAAUCCACCUGCCCAACAGGUGGGCGUCCGGCGGAAACUGUGUGGCUUGGAACCGGAAGGCUCAGAGGGUACGUCCGGGGUAGGAGUGAAAUCCCAUAAUCCCGGACGGACCACUGAUGGCGAAAGCACUCUGAGAAGACGGCUUCGACAGUGAGGGACGAAAGCUAGGGUCUCAAACCGGAUUAGAAACCCCAGUAGUCC
rnacentral:rRNA from 1 species